UACGAAGGGGGCUAGCGUUGCUCGGAAUCACUGGGCGUAAAGGGUGCGUAGGCGGGUCUUUAAGUCAGGGGUGAAAUCCUGGAGCUCAACUCCAGAACUGCCUUGAUACUGAAGAUCUUGAGUUCGGGAGAGGUGAGUGGAACUGCGAGUGUAGAGGUGAAAUUCGUAGAUAUUCGCAAGAACACCAGUGGCGAAGGCGGCUCACUGGCCCG
rnacentral:rRNA from 1 species